GACGAACGCUGGCGGCGUGCUUAACACAUGCAAGUCGAACGGAAAGGCCCUGCUUUUGUGGGGUGCUCGAGUGGCGAACGGGUGAGUAACACGUGAGUAACCUGCCCUUGACUUUGGGAUAACUUCAGGAAACUGGGGCUAAUACCGGAUAGGAGCUCCUGCUGCAUGGUGGGGGUUGGAAAGUUUCGGCGGUUGGGGAUGGACUCGAGGGUUAUCGGCUUGAUGGUGGGGUAGUGGCUUUCAAAGGCUUUGACGGGUAGCCGGCCUGGGAGGGGGACCGGCGACCUUGGGACUACGGGAGGCCCCAGACGCGAACGUGAGGCAGCGGUGGAGAGUAUGGCACAAUGGGCGGAAGCCUGAUACAGCAGCGCCGCGUGCGGGAUGACGGCCUACGAGUUGUAAACCGCUUUCGCAUGUGACGAGGCGUGAGUGACGGUAAUGGAUAAAGAAGCACCGGCUAACUACGUG
rnacentral:rRNA from 1 species